rnacentral:rRNA from 1 species
GAUGAACGCUGGCGGCGUGCCUAAUACAUGCAAGUCGAGCGAACAGACGAGGAGCUUGCUCCUCUGACGUUAGCGGCGGACGGGUGAGUAACACGUGGAUAACCUACCUAUAAGACUGGGAUAACUUCGGGAAACCGGAGCUAAUACCGGAUAAUAUAUUGAACCGCAUGGUUCAAUAGUGAAAGACGGUUUUGCUGUCACUUAUAGAUGGAUCCGCGCCGCAUUAGCUAGUUGGUAAGGUAACGGCUUACCAAGGCAACGAUGCGUAGCCGACCUGAGAGGGUGAGCGGCCACACUGGAACUGAGACACGGUCCAGACUCCUACGGGAGGCAGGAGUAGGGAAUUUUCCGCAAUGGGCGAAAGUUUGACGGAGCAACGCCGCGUGGGUGAUGAAGGUCUUCGGAUCGUAAAACUCUGUUAUUAGGGAAGAACAAAUGUGUAAGUAACUAUGCACGUCUUGACGGUACCUAAACAGAAAGCCACGGCUAACUACGU